AGCUCCAAUAGCGUAUAUUAAAGUUGCUGCAGUUAAAAAGCUCGUAGUUGCAUUUCCGAGGCAAGGGAUUAGUCCGACCUUUGGUGGGUAUUUAAUCCUCUUGCCUCGUCCUUGAGUGGUGCUUCUUGGUAUUAAGUUAUCGAGGAGAUAGCCGCUCAUCGUUUACUGUGAGAAAAUUAGAGUGUUCAAAGCAGGCUUAUGCCGUUGAAUAUAUUAGCAUGGAAUAAUAAGAUAGGACCUCGGUUCUAUUUUGUUGUUUUGAGAACCAAGGUAAUGAUGAAUAGGGACAGUUGGGGGUAUUCGUAUUCAGUUGUCAGAGGUGAAAUUCUUAGAUUUACGGAAGACGAACUACUGCGAAAGCAUUUACCAAGGAUGUUUUCA
rnacentral:rRNA from 1 species